rfam:Drosophila ananassae strain TSC#14024-0371.13 Ctg01_19186, whole genome shotgun sequence.
AUCUUUGUGAUGAAUAUUUUAAAUUCUUGAUAGGAAGAGUAUGAAACAUAAUGAGUACUACCCAACCAAGCUGAUUAGAU